rnacentral:rRNA from 1 species
AGUGAACGUUGGCGGCGUGGAUUAGGCAUGCAAGUCGAGCGAGAACCGUAGCAAUACGGGGACAGCGGCGAAAGGGACAGUAAUGUGUAGGUACCUACCCCGAGGUCUGGGAUAGCUGCGGGAAACUGCAGGUAAUACCGGAUAAUGUCUUCGGACCAAAGGUGUGAUUCCACCUUGGGAGGGGCCUGCAUCCUAUUAGCUAGUUGGCGGGGUAAUGGCCCACCAAGGCAACGAUGGGUAGCGGGUGUGAGAGCACGACCCGCGUCAUUGGGACUGAGACACUGCCCAGACACCUACGGGUGGCUGCAGUCGAGGAUCUUCGGCAAUGGGCGCAAGCCUGACCGAGCGACGCCGCGUGCGGGAUGAAGGCCUUCGGGUUGUAAACCGCUGUCGUAGAGGAGGAAAUGCAGGGGGGUUCUCCCUUCUGUUUGACCUAUUCUAGGAGGAAGGACGGGCUAAGUUCGUGCCAGCCGCCGCGGUAA